rnacentral:rRNA from 1 species
UGAGGAAUCUUGCGCAAUGGGGGCAACCCUGACGCAGCCACGCCGCGUGCUGGAAGACGGCCCUAUGGGUUGUAAACAGCUUUUGGUCGGGAAGAACCUGGGGGUUUCGACCUCCACUGACGGUACCGGCCGAAUAAGCACCGGCUAACUCCGUGCCAGCAGCCGCGGUAAUACGGAGGGUGCAAGCGUUGUCCGGAAUCAUUGGGUGUAAAGGGUGCGCAGGCGGGCUGCCGCGUCGGGGGUGAAAUCUUGCCGCUUAACGGUAAAAUGGCCUUCGAUACGGGCAGUCUUGAGUCCAGAAGAGGCCGGUGGAAUUCGUGGUGUAGCGGUGAAAUGCAUAGAUAUCACGAAGAACACCAGUGGCGAAGGCGGCCGGCUGGUCUGGUACUGACGCUGAGGCACGAGAGCGUGGGGAGCGAACAGGAUUAGAUACCCCCGUAGUCC